AUGAACGCUGGCGGCGUGCCUAACACAUGCAAGUCGAACGGAGUCCAGCCUUUAAGACCUUCGGGCCAAAGAGGGGAAGACUGAGUGGCGGACGGGUGAGUAACACGUGGGCAACCUGGCUCAUAGAGGGGGAUAACAGAGAGAAAUUUCUGCUAAUACCGCAUAAGCACACACUGCCGCAUGGCAGAGGGUGAAAAGAGAAUCGCUAUGAGAUGGACCCGCGUCUGAUUAGCCAGUUGGCAGGGUAAGAGCCUACCAAAGCGACGAUCAGUAGCCGAUCUGAGAGGAUGAACGGCCACAUUGGGACUGAGACACGGCCCAAACUCCUACGGGAGGCAGCAGUGGGGGAUAUUGCACAAUGGGGGGAACCCUGAUGCAGCGACGCCGCGUGAGUGAAGAAGUAUUUCGGUAUGUAAAGCUCUAUCAGCAGGGAAGAUAAUGACAGUACCUGAAUAAGAAGCCCCGGCUAACUACGUG
rnacentral:rRNA from 1 species